CCUACGGGAGGCAGCAGUAGGGAAUCUUCCACAAUGGACGAAAGUCUGAUGGAGCAACGCCGCGUGAGCGAUGAAGGCCUUCGGGUCGUAAAGCUCUGUUGUUAGGGAAGAACAAGUACCGGAGUAACUGCCGGUACCUUGACGGUACCUAACCAGAAAGCCACGGCUAACUACGUGCCAGCAGCCGCGGUAAUACGUAGGUGGCAAGCGUUGUCCGGAAUUAUUGGGCGUAAAGCGCGCGCAGGCGGUCCUUUAAGUCUGAUGUGAAAGCCCACGGCUCAACCGUGGAGGGUCAUUGGAAACUGGGGGACUUGAGUGCAGAAGAGGAAAGCGGAAUUCCACGUGUAGCGGUGAAAUGCGUAGAGAUGUGGAGGAACACCAGUGGCGAAGGCGGCUUUCUGGUCUGUAACUGACGCUGAGGCGCGAAAGCGUGGGGAGCAAACAGGAUUAGAUACCCUGGUAGUCCACGCCGUAAACGAUGAGUGCUAAGUGUUAGGGGGUUUCCGCCCCUUAGUGCUGCAGCUAACGCAUUAAGCACUCCGCCUGGGGAGUACGGCCGCAAGGCUAAAACUCAAAGGAAUUGACGG
rnacentral:rRNA from 1 species